UGUAAGCGUAUACCAAAGUUGUUGCAGUUAAAACGCUCGUAGUCGGAAUUUGGCAGUUCCGGAUGUGUGCACGUCGUGUGCGCACUUCGCGGGGAUUGCUUUUGUGGUCUUGCGUAGGAUGAGGCACUUUUAUUAGUGAACGUCCUCACGCAACCACUUUUUACUGUGAGAAAAUCAGAGUGCUCAAAGCAGGCAUUUGCCGUGAAUGUAUUAGCAUGGAGUAGUAGAAUAGGACUUGGUUCUAUUUUGUUGGUUUGUUGGGACUGAGUAAUGAUUAAGAGGGACAGUUGGGGGCAUUUGUAUUUCGGUGCUAGAGGUGAAAUUCUUAGAUUACCGAAAGACAAACUGCUGCGAAAGCGUCUGCCAAGGAUGUUUUCAUUGA
rnacentral:rRNA from 1 species